GACGUAGGGGGGCCAGCGUUGUUCGGAAUUACUGGGUGUAAAGGGUUCGUAGGCGGUGUGGCAAGUCGGGAGUGAAAAUCUCUGGGCUCAACCCCAGAGUCUGCUUCCGAAACUGCUGUGCUUGAGUGUGAGGGAGGCUCGUGGAAUUGCAGGUGUAGCGGUGAAAUGCGUAGAUAUCUGCAGGAACACCCGUGGCGAAAGCGGCGAGCUGGAUCACUACUGACGCUGAGGAACGAAAGCUAGGGGAGCAAACAGG
rnacentral:rRNA from 1 species